rnacentral:rRNA from 1 species
CCGAAUUCGUCGACAACCUGGUUGAUCCUGCCACUGGUAUAUGCUUGUUUAAAGGACUAAGCCAUGCAAGUGCAAGUAUGAGUGAAUUGUAUAACGAAACUGCGAAUGGCUCGGUAAAACAGCUAUAAUUUCUUCGGUGUUAACAUACUACUCGGAUACCCGUAGUAAUUCUAGAGCUAAUACGUGCCUCACAAAACGACGAAAGUCGUGGUACAAAUUACAGAUACAAGCCAACUAGUUGGUGAUUCUAGAUUUUUUUUCUGAUCGCACUUGUUGCGACGCACCGUUCAAAUUUCUGACCUAUCAACUUUGGAUGGUAAGGUAGUGGCUUACCAUGGUUGUGACGGGUAACGGACCGUGGGUGCGGGAUUCCGGAGAGGGAGCCUGAGAAACGGCUACCACAUCCAAGGAAGGCAGCAGGCGCGCAACUUACCCAAUCCGGACACCGGGAGGUAGUGACAAGAAAUAUCAAUAGAGGGCCCGAUGGGUUUUCUAAUUGGAAUGAGAACAAGGUAAACAGCUUAUCAAGGAGCCAGCAGAGGGCAAGUCUGGUGCCAGCAGCCGCGGUAAUUCCAGCUCUGUAAGCGUAUGCCAAAGUUGUUGCAGUUAAAACGCUCGUAGUCGGACGUUGGCGUUUGACUUGGAACGUCCUCACGGAUGUUUUCAGGUGGAAUGCCUUUGUGGAAUGGGUCGUCAUGUGGGUGCUUCACUGCAUUCGCUGGCGGCCUCCACCGUUUACUGUGAAAAAAUUAGAGUGUUCAAAGCAGGCGAUUGCCCUGAAUACAUUAGCAUGGAAUAAUAGAAUAGGACCCUGUUCCUAUUUUGUUGGUUUGUUGGGAGCGGGUAAUGAUCGACAGGGACGGUUGGGGGCAUUCGUAUUCCGACGCUAGAGGUGAAAUUCUUGGAUUGUCGGAAGACGAACAGCUGCGAAAGCGUCUGUCAAGGACGUUUUCAUUGAUCAAGAACGAAAGUAAGGGGAUCGAAGACGAUCAGAUACCGUCGUAGUCUUUACUAUAAACGAUGAGGACUGGAGAUCGGAUAAGACUGAAUUUUUUAUGGCUUAUCCGGCAUCCUUCGAGAAAUCAAAAGUGUUUGCUUUCUGGGGGGAGUAUGGUCGCAAGGCUGAAACUUAAAGGAAUUGACGGAAGGGCAUCACCGGGUGUGGAGCCUGCGGCUUAAUUCGACUCAACACGGGAAAACUUACCAGGUCAGGACAUAGUAAGGAUUGACAGAUUGAGAGCUCUUUCUUGAUUCUAUGGUUGGUGGUGCAUGGCCGUUCUUAGUUGGUGGAGUGAUCUGUCUGGUUAAUUCCGUUAACGAGCGAGACCUGGGCGUGCUAGUUAGGCACAGUUACCAUUUUUAUUUUGGUAGCUGUUGGUUUUUGCCUUCCUAGACGGACUGUGGGCGUCUAGCCCACGGAAGCUCCAGGCAAUAACAGGUCUGAGAUGCCCUUAGAUGUUCUGGGCCGCACGCGUGCUACACUGAACGGGUCAACGAGUUAGGUCAUGCGAAAGCUACUGCCUAAUCUCUAAAUCCGUUCGUGAUGGGGAUCGACGGUUGCAAUUUUCCGUCGUCAACGAGGAAUACCUUGUAAGCGUGGGUCAUCAUCCCGCGCUGAAUACGUCCCUGCCCUUUGUACACACCGCCCGUCGCUCCUACCGAUUGAGUGGUCCGGUGAGGCCUUGGGAGAGCGAAUUGAGCUGUUUAUUCAGGUCUUUUUGCUUGAACUUGGUCAAACCUUAUCACUUAGAGGAAGGAAAAGUCGUAACAAGGUUUCCGUAGGUGAACCUGCAGAAGGAUCAAGCUUGGAUCCCGGG